GUGCCUGUCCUGUGCUUGACAUUGGAUGGGGAGGGAAGGAAGACACGGUAAUGCCUCUUAUUCUUACCUUGUUUAGAACAAAAGAAAGAAAAGUCCUGGCUCAGUGGUUCCAGGCAUCGGUGGCACACUGCCUGUCAGAUCUGGACUGCUUAGCCUGGUGAGUGAGUUCAUGAUGUUUGACAUGCUAUAAAGUUGCAGGGGAAACCUACUUGAAGUAUCUCAGUGUUCAACAACUGGGCCAUGUGGCUAUAUGGAAGAUGGUGUGCGCAGGGGGUGAUGUGCAUUGGCCCCAUGGCACUACCUCUCGCAGCUGUCAGAACUACUGCAGGCUAGUCAGUGGUGACACGACUCUUUAAAAGUCACAGUAUCAUCUCUUACUUCAGAAAAUAGGGCCUUGGAAAAAUAUUUGCUCUGGAUGCGUUUCUCACUCCCCACAACCAACCCCCCCCCAUUUACAAACCACAGAAAGACGCUACCUCUGACUCAGAAAUUGGAGCUACCAUUAAAAUGCAAGUUUUAAUUUCAGAAACAUGUGAGGAUUUCCAUGGUUGGCAUUGGGAAGUGUGUGUGUGUGUGUGUGUGUGUGUGUGUGUUAGGGUUUCUAUUGCUGUGAUAAAACACCAUAACCAAAAUCAACUUGGGAAAGAAUAGAUUUAUUUCAGCUUAUAGUUCUGCUUCACAGUUUAUCAUCAAAGAAGUCAGGGCAGGAACUUAAGCAGGGCAGAAACCUGGACACAGGAACUUAAGCAGAAGCCAUAGAGGUAUGCUGCUUACUGGCUUGCUCAUCAUGGCUUGCUCAGCCUGCCUUCUUAUAGAACCCAGGACCCCCAGCCAUAGCUUGGCACAGCCUAUAGAGAGCUGGGCCCUCUCGAAUCAAUCACUAAUCAAGAAAAUGCCCUACACGUUUGCCUACAAUCCAUCCAAUGGAGGCAGUUUCUUGGUUAAGAUUCCUUCUUCCCAGAUGAUCCUCAUUUGUGUCAAGUUGACAUAAAAACUAUCCAGUUCUCUCUCUCUCUCUCUCUCUCUCUCUCUCUCUCUCUGUGUGUGUGUGUGUGUGUGUGUGUGUGUAGAGAGAGAGAGACAGAGAGACAGAGAGAGAGACAGAGUCUUAAUGUUACUCUUUUAAUGACAGUUUAUGAUUAACUUUUCCUACUAAUAACCCCCAAACUUUAUUGGGUUAACGGAACAAUUACUCAUUCAGCUCACAAACUUCUGAGUUGACAUUGUGCGCUGGACUCAGAUGGGUGGCUUUCCAUUGUCAAUGGUUCGCUCUAUGUCAGAUGGGCGUGGCUUGGGGUUAGCUGGUUCAGAUUGGCCUCUGCUGCAAUGGCUGCCCUCCAAGCUCCAGUUUGGCCCAGGCUCAUGUACAUGUUUGCCUAGCACAGUUCUGAGAAGAACUGCAGUGUGCAAGGUGUGAGUGUGCAAGAACAAGGCCACAUUUACUGUGUUCCACGGCUCAAGUAAAUUCGUGUUAGUCUAAUCCAAAAGGAUGGAAAAUUAGGCUCCACCCUCCAGUAAGAAGAGCUCCAAAGUCACCAUUAAAGGAGUGUAGCUACAGGCAAAAUAGAACAUAUUAGAUAAGAAAUGCCCAGAGAUUGGCAUCAGCUCACCUUUUCACUUCUAUCUAUGGGUCUGCUUUGCUUUUCCUUUUCAUAUUAUUAAUGUCUUUCAUUCUUGAUAUUUGGUAUACUCAGUACUAUACAACUUAGGGGCAUUGUCAUGCAAGCGUAUAUUAAACAUUGAGCCCAUGGCAGCCUAGCUUUCCACACUGCCUUUCUCAGCCCAAUCCUCCUUGUUAGUCAGUCCCUUUUGCUUCUAUAGGCAGUUUUGUGUCUACUUUCGUGUUACAUGCACGUACAUCAUAUCAUUUUCUUC
ensembl:sense_intronic Gm26638 predicted gene, 26638